rnacentral:rRNA from 1 species
UACGUAGGUGGCAAGCGUUGUCCGGAUUUACUGGGCGUAAAGAGCGCGCAGGCGGUCGUUCAAGUCGCGUGUGAAAGCCCCCGGCUCAACUGGGGAGGGUCACGCGAUACUGAUCGACUCGAAGGCAGGAGAGGGUAGUGGAAUUCCCGGUGUAGUGGUGAAAUGCGUAGAUAUCGGGAGGAACACCAGUGGCGAAGGCGACUACCUGGCCUGUUCUUGACGCUGAGGCACGAAGGUCAGGGGAGCAAACGGG